UAUACCAUGCAUGGCGUGUCAGGAAAAAAUUACUAAGCGGAGCAUCUGAUACUAAAGCCUUUCAUGAUCAAGUGCUCUCCAAAUCACUUGUUCCAUUCUCUUCAAAUGCCACCACUCCCUAAUUGGCCUUGUCAUCUUUUUACUGUCACUACUGAUGAUUCGAAUUCUUCUGCGCGCAUGCAGCAGUCUUGGAACUCUGCUAUAAAAGAGCAUGUUUGGAAGAAGACAUUAAUCGAGGCCACCGAGUCAGAUCGAUAAAAACUUUCAUUUUUCAGUACUACAUCUCGUUUGUUUUAGACAGAUCUUGAGAUCAGAAAAAUGGCAUCAGUGAAGGCUGAAAAAACAGUGAGCACUCAAUCAUCUGGGCAGGUGAAGAAGGAGCCUGGAGCCAAGACCAGUGAUAAUGCAACCAAAGCUCCGGCAUCCAAGUCCGGUGCAAAGAAAGCCGCAGCAAAGGCACCUCCGGAACCAAAGAAGAAGGGAAAAGGAGGCAAAUCAUCAAAGCACUAACCAAACAGCCUGUGUGAGUGAUGUCUGAGUACAAAAAGCAGCUACAAGAAGAUCAGAGUUUACAUUAUCUCUAAUACCCUUAUGGUUUAGUUAAAUUGUGUACUACGAAAUUAAUAUCCAUGUAAGUCUUAGCUAGGCUGGGCCUAUUUCAAUAACAACGAUGAUCUUCUGAGUA